rnacentral:lncRNA from 1 species
AACAUGGGACUACCUAAAAUAGUAAUAAAGACUUUUAUCAUGGGACGGAGGGAGUUGGAGGUGCUCAUUUUCAGUAGAAUUAGGGUCAAAAUCCUUUCUUUUUCAUGGCAUACAGAAUCAUCAGUUAUUGUAUUCACUAAUGGAAUUUCAUUUGUAUAGCGUUGUUCAGCCUUGGUUAUUAAUAUGUCAUUACUUCUGCAGGUUUUGAGCCAAUUCUAGAAUUAUUGGUGUCUGAUGUCUCCUUUGUUGGGUGUUGAGGGGGUAGGUCAGGGCAAUGCAUCUUUAGUGGCUUCUCAAGUCUCCAUGGACUUUGUUUCUCCUACUGGCUUGGGAUUGAAAGAACGAAAUUACCUUGGAUUGUCAGAUUGUUCCUCAGUAGACAGCUCUCCGGCGUCGAGCAUAUCUGAUGAGAGUAAGAGUAAUCUAAAUCUCAAGGCUACAGAACUGAGGCUUGGUCUUCCUGGAUCUCAGUCCCCAGAACGAGAUCCAAAAUUUAAUCUGCUGGUCUUGGGAAAACUUGAUGAGAAACCCUUGUUUCCUUUGAUUCCUUCUAAGGAUGGUAUUUGCUGCUUAUCGCAAAAGACUGUUGUUUCGGGUAACAAAAGGGGGUUCUCUGACACUAUGGACGGCUUCUCGGAAAUAAAAGGUCCAUCAUUUACUGAAGGUAAUUGGAUGUUUAAUACGCCCAUAUCUGAUUCUGAAACUCCAAAACCUGUUGGACAUGGGAAGUUUUUGGGCAAUGCUAGUAUUAAUGUAAUGCUAUCGUCUGGGUCAGCUGUGACCCAUGCUGCUGGAAUGAAAGAGGUUCCUCUAAAAGCAUCCCAAGGGGGGCAUCAUUUGAAAACUGGAACUAAUAACAAAAUGAAUGGUUCUAACAACAAUAGCAGUGCACCUGCUGCCAAGUAAGAGCAAAUUAUUUACUUCUAGGGGUUUUGACCCAUAUAAACAUGGGAAAAGAGGAAUAAAGUGUGUUGAUACAGUGUAGCACUCCGGAGCACUUUGCUUACUAAUCUUAUUUUCUCCAUAGGGCACAGGUAGUUGGAUGGCCUCCUAUAAGAUCGUUUAGGAAGAAUACACUGGCUACCAGUUCAAAGAACAAUGAAGAAGUAGAUGGAAAACCAGGCCCUGGUACCCUAUUUGUUAAGGUCAGCAUGGAUGGCGCUCCUUAUCUGAGGAAGGUAGAUCUGAGAAUAUAUUCUACAUAUCAAGAACUUUCAUCUGCUCUUGAGAAAAUGUUCAGCUGUUUUACUAUUGGUGAGCUAUAUUUGAUACAGUUUGUGGUAUUUUGGUUAAAUAUUGGUUUCAGUUCUGUAUGAAGUUUAGCUAAUAUCAAAAUUACUACUCGUUUAUCAUAGAUUAGAAUUAACGGUUUUACAACAAUUCCAGGUCAAUGCGGAUCUCAGAGUACUUCUGGCAGAGAAAUGUUGAGUGAGAGCAAGUUGAGAGAUCUUUUGCAUGGGUCAGAAUAUGUGCUCACGUACGAGGACAAGGAUGGUGACUGGAUGCUUGUGGGAGAUGUUCCAUGGGAGUAAGAUCACAUCCAUUUCACUUGUUUAGUUUGGUUCUUGAUUCUCUCUCUUUCCUACAAUAGUAAAUAAUAGUGAUAUAGAAAUGUGCUAUUAUCUGUUGUCUUGCAUAAAGUGAAGGAGUAGAGAUUUGAUUAUCAUGUAUUAUAGGAAACUCUAGCAGUUCUCAUUGAUAGGGACAUGAGUUUAUUAAGUUGUCAUCUUUUUGCACUAAAUGUUGUGCCAUAUAAAGCCAUUGUUUAAGCUGUGCAAAGUGAAUCUAUACACAUGUCCAGUGAUCAUUGAUGUUAGUCUUGAUUUUCUGGGCAUGCAUAUGCACAUGCACAAAUUAUGUGGAGAACUGGCAGUACACAUGCUUUCUGUUUCUUCGUCAUUUGGCUAAAAUUUGGUUCAUCAUAUCAGAUUUCACGCUAAACAGCAUUUGAAAUGAGAAGUUUGAAACUUAAUUAAGCUCUCAAGUUAAUAAGAUGGUUUCAUUUCAAAACUUGCAUGUUAUAUCAAUCUUUUCAUUUUUUGAAAUAAAAUUGUUUAAGUGUAAGAAGGAAUAUCAUAGGCAAGCAAUUGCUACAAUAUGCACUGAAAAUAAAGCAGCGUGUUCGUAAAUUUCACACUGAUGAACUUAUCUUUGCCCAUGUAGUACAACUAUUUGACCCUAAAUAUUGGUCAAAUGGACCUUUACAGGAAAUUAACCUUGAUAUCAAACCAGAUGUCAGUAAUACAUGGGUUCUAUUUAUUAUUUGCUUCUUGGUUUUACAAGUAUUAUGUUAUGUGAUCAGGUGAUUAACUAUGUUACCUGGAAUUGACUUCCAUAUUUUUUAUGCUUUUCUCUCUAGAUAGUAGCUCUUUGUAGUCUGUUCAUUUCAUAUAAACCCUGGAUAUAUUGAAGGUGUCCAACCUAUCCCAGCUUGAUCAAAAUUAAUGUCAAUGAGAUGCUGUGUUGAGGUUCAUUAAGAACUGCCUGAUGACUGUAAACUGGACUAGAUGUAAGCUGUUUAGUUCCUCUCUUUUCACUGUGCUAAUUAUCUUGCUGGUUUUCAUAGGAUGUUUAUCGAUUCUUGCAAGAGGCUGAAAAUCAUGAAGGGCUCUGAUGCUAUUGGAUUAGGUGUGUACUAUUUGUUAAUCAAUUUUUUUACCAUUUAUACAAAAUCUCUGCAUCGAGACUAGGAAAAAGGAUUGCAUGUUAUUGUAUAUAGUACCUGGUUGUAUCAUGGAGAUGUCAAUUGCACCUCGUAGAUGUUUAAAUUGUGGUAAUUGAUGUAGUAAUACAUGUUUUGGUCUCUACCCGCUAGAAACUAAAUUUGUUGCGAGUAGUUUUGAGAUUACCCUGCUUCUGAAUUGUAACUUCAGUGUGUCUGAAAAUUAUCUUUAUUAUGAAUUUGCAUUUUCUUCUGUUUCUUUUGUUAAACAAGUGAGAAAAGCUGUUACCUCAUUUUACAUCAUGAUGACAUGACAAAGAAUUAUAAACAUUUUGUUGUUGGUUUUGGUCCACAGCUCCCAGGGCCAUGGAAAAAUCCAAAAACAGAAACUAGGUUUUACGAGGGCAUAAUGAACUGCUUUCCAGCUGCUUAGUCUGAAGUGGAUGGACAGAACAGAAGGUUAAAUGGUUUGCAGAAUUAUUGAAGGUGACAGGAUAGCUUGGGCUGGACUGCGGAUCACGGUCUUUAGAUGCCUUUCUUGGAUCUAUAUAAUGUUGAGAAGAUUAAUGCUUGUGAAGUUAAUAUUUCUUUAUAUGAAUCCGUAGUGUUAAGUGCGAUUUAUUUUGAUGAAUGUUUGAUAAAACCUGGUGAAAGUUGUGGUUUCUGACCUAUUUACUUUUAUUAACUGUACUAUGAUAAUGUAUCCUGGUGUUAUCUAAUAUACGGGCAAUGCUGGUGGUGGAACAUUGGAAACGAGAAAGUAUUGCAGAUGGCGUCUCAGCCUUGACAAGGAAAGGUUGGCUUCUAUAUUCCUGAAGAACGAGAGUUAAAAGGAUCUGGUAAAAUAUUUCUAACCUAGUGUUAAGUUCUUCGUAAGCUGCGAGUGAAACAGAGGAGGAACGGAAAACGGGUGGAGAUGGAGUAAAGAAAUUGUAGCUCAUUUCUUCACUCUGUAUUUUAUAGGUUCAACUUGAAAAGUGUGCUCAGGUCAUGACUUUUAACGUAUUGAUUGAGGUUCCAACAUCGAACGGAUUGCUGCGAAUUUACUUGGAAUUCAAACGUAGUGUAACGUGUUAGCAGUCGUUUUGUCCAAGUUGAAAAUAUAAGGGUUGUAUAUAUAUGCAAUUAGGCACUCACCCAAGUCUCAAGGUCUUGUUACCCAAACAAAAUCAUGUCUGUACAUAGGUCCUUCCCCUUCAACUCCAAUAGUCUAAAAAAAAUAGGUUAGAUUGAACUACAUUCCUGACUAGGUGUUUGGUCAGAGACUUUCCGGAAAAAAGUAAUAGUAAAAACGAUGCCUCCUUUGCAUACAAUCUGUUUGCCCUAUAAGGAAAUGAUAAAAAAAAAUGUUACCCAGUAUAAAUUAAUUAUUUGAAGCAUGAAUCACUCUCCACUCGAAAUUAAAUAUUAAAAAGAAAACAGAGAAUUAGGAGGGGAGGGGAGGAGAGGAGAGAUUCCAAAAUCACUUUCUUGUGGGAAAUAGAUAUUUCUUGAUUUCUACUAAUCAAAAGUGGGAUUUUAGUGCAUCCUUAAUCAGCAUCAACUAACUACUUACAUAACUACAAAAGCAGCCUAUUAUUAUAUUUAUGGGUCAAACUUUGUCAUGUAUUUGGGAUUCAAAAGAUGAUCAUUUAGUCCAUGAAUUCAACCCCAAGUAGUUUCUUUGUCAGAUUCAAUGUUCAAGCAUUUUAGAAAGAAAACCUCUAAAUUAAAAAAAGUUGGAAGUGGGUAGGAACAGAACAANNNNNNNNNNNNNNNNNNNNNNNNNNNNNNNNNNNNNNNNNNNNNNNNNNNNNNNNNNNNNNNNNNNNNNNNNNNNNNNNNNNNNNNNNNNNNNNNNNNNCACACACACACACACAUAUAUAUAUAUAUAUAUAUAUAUAUAUAUAUAUAUAUAAGAAUUGAUUAAGAAAUCAGUGAUAUAUAUAUUCGUGGCAAUUAUUUAUCCAGGCUGGCAAAACCAACACCACUUAGAUUGCAUUAUUAUGUCAUCCCAAAUGUUCAAGUAACUAAAAUUAAAUAGGUUAUAACUACAACUGCUCAUGACUAAUUAAUUAUAGUAAGUUUUAGGUUUGGGUACACAGCUUGAUAUUCCCUCCGUCCACCUAAGAAUUCCAUUUCAAAAGAAUGAUGCGUGUCGUCUUAGGAGUAAUAAUAAUUAAACCUUAAAACGCAUUUGGGUUUAAACUUGAAAACAUUAUAUUAUUAUACUUCCUAUAUUCCAUAAAAUAAAAUCAAAUAAAUAAAUAAAUAAUUAAUUAAUGGGAGUCUCCUAGUAGGUAGGCCUCAGAGAUUGAUCUCUCCUCCACUUCUUACCUCAUUAAAUAUUUUGUACAAAUAAUAAAUGCCAAGCUUCACAUCACACAUGUAUGUAUGUAUGUAUUACAUGCAUGUGCCUGAUCGAAGAUGCCAAAUUGCAUGCUAGCAUAGCACCGAUGGCUACAGGCGUGGGAACAUAUAUAUCUAUCUUCUGGUUAGGGUAAUACUUUCUCUUCCUGUGAAGAUUAUUUCAUGUACGUGUUUCUUCCACCGCCCCAUCUCAUUUUCCUUCCUGCUCAGAUUGAGACUCAUCCGUUGAGAGUUACGUUACUAGUACAAAUCUACAAAUGCCAACUGUUACGCCACAACACAAUUAUGUACUACUCUCUCCGUCCUUAAUUAAUUAUUUAACGUUUUAAAGGUAAACACACGAAUUAAGAUAAUAAUUGAAAAACAUUAAAUAUAGUACUCAAUUGUCUAUAAUACCCUUAAAUCUUUUGUUGGAAUAAAGAGAGCUUUGUUAGGAUAAGGAGAGAGAAAGAGUUUAAAGUAUCAAAAAAAAUUGGCAGAGUAAUUAAUGAGGGAUAAUUUUGGAAAAAUUGUUAUUAAUUCUCCUAGAUUUUAACAAACGUCAAAUAAUUAGGGACAAAUGAAAAAUUCUAAAACGUCAAAUAAUUAGAGACGGAAGGAGUAUGUUUCUACAUUUGGAAACAAAGGGAAAGAAAUAAUUAAGCUCAACAGAAUAAUAUACAUAUAUAUAUAUAUAUAUAUAUAUAUAUAUAUCAAAAACUAAAUAAAAACUAGUGUACUUCUUGUGUGGAAGGAAAAUAUUUAUAUCCUAGCUAUCCUAUGGUCCAUACAGAUACUUCUUCAUCAAGGGCAGGCAGUAAAUUGAUCACCUGCCAAUUCUUUAUGAUUACAAUCAUGAUAAUUUAAGAGGCUGAUCAAAAACAGCAGCAGCUGCUAUAGAAUUUGGUGAAACGAAUGGUACUACUUUUCCUUGUUUAUUAUGUGAACAGGCCAGGCCAGGAUGUAGUAGUAAUUAAUUACAAAGAUUCAAUCCAUCUUGAUAUGAUAUGAAGUGAAGAUGCUUCCCAAAGUAGACUACAAAUUUCUAUUAAAAAAUACUCUGUUUUGAAAUUAUAUAUACUCCAUCCACAGCAACCGGUUGUUGGGAGCAACCUCUUUUGNNNNNNNNNNNNNNNNNNNNNNNNNNNNNNNNNNNNNNNNNNNNNNNNNNNNNNNNNNNNNNNNNNNNNNNNNNNNNNNNNNNNNNNNNNNNNNNNNNNNNNNNNNNNNNNNNNNNNNNNNNNNNNNNNNNNNNNNNNNNNNNNNNNNNNNNNNNNNNNNNNNNNNNNNNNNNNNNNNNNNNNNNNNNNNNNNCCUUUGUUGGGUGUUGAGGGGGUAGGUCAGGGCAAUGCGUCUUUAGUGGCUUCUCAAGUCUCCAUGGACUCUGUUUCUCCUACUGGCUUGGGAUUGAAAGAACGAAAUUACCUUGGAUUGUCAGAUUGUUCCUCAGUAGACAGCUCUCCGGCGUUGAGCAUAUCUGAUGAGAGUAAGAGUAAUCUAAAUCUCAAGGCUACAGAACUGAGGCUUGGUCUUCCUGGAUCUCAGUCCGCAGAACGAGAUCCAGAAUUUAAUCUGCUGGUCUUGGGAAAACUUGAUGAGAAACCC